rnacentral:tRNA from 1 species
GCUGAGGUCGCAUAACUAGGUAGUGCGCCAGAUUCUGUAAAGAAGGCGAACCUGCUAAGUUGGUGGGCGAAAGCCCAUGAGGGUUCAAAUCCCUCCCUCAGCG